ACAGGGUCUUGAAUAUGUUAAGAAAAUGCUGUUCGUUUCGAAGAGUUUCAAAACAUUUGAAAGGGAGGAAGGCACUCUUCCAUUGACCUUCAGUGUGCAUUUUAGUUUCAUUUUGGGUUGACUCUUCUCUGUUGCUGUCUGAUGCCUCUAGUGUAAGGCGAAGAUCUUCAUGUCUCAUGUCUUUCCUGCUCCCCUUCUCUGCCCUGUUCCACUCAGGGGAAUAGCCCAGCAUCAACUCAGUCCAUGCUUGUUAAUCAACCUCCAUACACCACAUCCAGCAAAGCUCCCUGAGUGACUCACAGUCACCAACCACCAAUGAACUGAUCUUUCCUCUGUGUCCUUCCAGCUUGGCCUGAGGACCGCCUGUUUACAAGAUGCUUACCACCAUACCAACAUGAAGAUAAUGAUGAUGCUGAUUGUGAUAAUGAUGGCCAUAUAAGAGCUUGGCGCGAAAACGACGACUUGACGCUGGAGAGUAUUAGUGACGAGGAGACUGAUCCAGUUUGUCCUGAGGAUGGCGUGGUUUUAAGAGGCUCCCCACAAUGCAGAGAUGAAGCAGAAGAAAAAGAAGAUGAUGAUGAUGAUAACGAUGCCCACAUAAGAGCUUGGCGCGAAAACGACGACUUGACGCUGGAGAGUAUAAGUGACAAGAAGACUCAUCCAGAAAGAAAUGUUGUUUGACUCUAAUGAUGCAGCGCAGUAGGUUUGUUUACACCGCCUCACCACAGACACGUAAGUAAUGCAUUGCUCCAACAUUCUAACAGCUACGACUUUACUAGGCAAAAGGAAAUUUUCAGCUUUGUUAUAAUCUUACGGGACCACUGUCAUACAUGUGGUAUGUCAUUGACCAAAAUGUCAUUCUGCCACAUAUGGCUGUAGUUUAUAAGCAGGUGCUCAAGUUAUAAGAAUGCAAAUAAUAACAGAUACAAAUUGAGUAUCAGAUAUUAUAUGGACACUUCUCUGUCUUGCCUCCUUGAAGUGUCACAAUCACUUUGAGACAAUUAGUUUUGUUAUAGUCAUUAUACAGAUGAGGAAUGUGAGUCUCAGCUAAGUAAAUUACUCAUGAGACACACCAUGAGUUGGAUCUCUUUAACACCAAAGGCUAGUCUAUGAACUAACAUGCUACACUGCCUGUAGUGGCAAAGUAGACUUACCAUAAAAUGAAAUGUGCUUCCACAGCUGGGCAUGUGAGCUUAGUAGCGCUGGUGUUACCCAUUGCUCCAUGGCUCAGAAAUUGGUCUUGCUUAAACUCGGAUGGAGAGGCUCUUGGUUCAGGGACUGAAAAGUUACAGGUUAUAUGAGUACAAUUGAAGGAUUAUGCUUCCAUAGAGCAUGUGGUUGUUCUCAUGGAAUGAGAACAGAGAGAAUCAAAGAGAAUCACCCAGAGCAAUUCUCUUUGUCUCAAAAAAAAAAAAAAAUUGCCCAUCUAAUAGGUUAAAAAUUAGAUACAGUCAACCACACUGGUCUAAAAUGUGCUUUUAGACAGUGAUAGGAAAGAAGAAAAAAAUUAAAAUAGUUGAUGUGUUCUAUAUGGGAGUCUGAGAUAAACUGCUGUUAAAUAGAAUUUUAUAUGAAGUUCUUUAGGCAAUAAGUAAAAAUGGAAGGGAAACCUGAUGGCAGAGAGCAGCCAGGACCACAGUUGCCUGUGGAUGCAGAGACUGGUGGAGCCUGGAAUGCACCAAAGACCACGAGUCCCCGUGGGCAGUCAGUUCAGUGACAGCACCGCUCAUUUUCUGAUCGGCAGGCACCCCAGUAGCACAUGGAGAGAACAGGGAGGCCUAAGAUGAGUCCGGGCCAUGGAAGGUCUCCAAUGAGGGGAUCUUGGAAGAUGUGAAAAGCAUCCUGGAGGGGGAGGUAGCCCUGCAGCUUAGCGGUCCAGUUUCCCUCACUGAUCUGACUUGGUAUGGCAUAGAGGGGCUCACACAGCAGCCCCCAGUAUCCUCCCACUUCCUUAAAGGCUUAAACACACCAUGACGUGGAUCAGUUUCUUAAAGAGCACAAGAGCACAUUAUUGAACAACCGGAAUUGCAGAGAAGUGGCCUCGUUUCCUGGAAGUGUUUCAGGGAGGGGGAGGUGGUGAGGCUCCACUGGGGAAAUGCUCAUGACCGAAGAAAGAUGAAGUCUGUGGCUGAGCCCAACCGCCAAUCCUCAUGGAGACCACGUGGUGCCCUACAAGAGCAAUCUGGUGGUGUGGUACUGGGGAGGGGAGAGGGCCAGGACCACAGAGCCUGUGCAGGGAUUCAGAACCAGAGGGCUCCUCAGAACAGGCACAGGAGAUGGUCUGUAAGGACUUGUCCCACUCCAGUGAGGGCAUGAGGGGCAGAGAGGGAGGAAAGCAGCCCCACAUAGGAGGAUACCUAGCGUGGGGAAGCAGGUCUCAGAAGAGCUAGGUUUCAGUCUAAGAAAGGAAAGAAUGUUCCAGGGAGAGGGUGAGGCCCUGGGGCCUCCAGAGGGCUUGGAAAAAAGGUUUCAGCAGACGGGAUCAGAAAAGGAGUAUUCAGGGCCUUGAGGGGGAGGUGAGCUGAGCUUCUUGUAGACCCUGAUGCAAACAGGGAUGAAGGACAUGAUAUUAGUCCUGAUUCUGAGGCAGAGAGUGGUGAGGAAGCUGUGAGUUUGGGAAAGUGAAGGAAGGGCCUGGGUGGGAGAAGGUGGCGUUCUGGGCCCUCUACAGUCCUUCCAGGGAAGGUCAGAGCCCAGAGAGGCCCAGGGCUCCCUCCUGACACCUGCACAAACAGAUGUGCCUCUGGUCAGGGGGUGCUCUAUAGACUGCUGUGAGGUGAGGGAGCAGCUUCUGGGCAUAGGACCCCAGGCACCUGCAGGAUGCAGGACUCCAGGCCCCCUCAGAUGCCUGCUGGUGUGUCUCCUCUGAGGGACUGUAAAUUAGCUUCUUGGGUACCCACAAUGUACAAAGCACUUGUUUUCAGUAUGAUGUACCUGGCACUGCCAAAAUCAUACCCAUUUAUGAUAGACACAACUACUAUCCCCACUUUAGAGCUAGGAAAACUGAGGCACUGAGCAGUUAAUCAACUUGCCCCAGGCUCCAUAGAUAAACAGUCGGUGUAGAGCUGGGGUCUCAACACAGCAGGCUCCCUCCAUAGUGUGGGCUUAUAGCCACUGGCUGUCCCACUGCCCUUGUCCAGCCUUGGCUGUCUGGGGUGGCAGUUUGUGCCUUUGGGCUACAGUUGAACUACCAGUUGCCUCUUCCAGGCUGGCUCCCAUACCUCUCCCAGCAGCAGCUUCUUAAAUCCCAGAAGCUGAAAUGGUGUGGUAAAUGGGCCUUGGAGUAUGGAGGCAAGAGUGUGGUGCUCAGGACUUCUAGGACCCAACAUAGGCUGUGUUCCUGGCCCUCCCCUUGUAACAGAGGCACCUCUGUCCCUGGCUAAUGAGUUCCCGCAUCUCUAAUUUCUCCUCAGCUUGGACUGUAGAGGUGGGAGCUCAGGAGAUGCUGGCGUGGAGGCUGCUUAGUGGGAUGACGUCACCGUGCGCAAAGCUGGGAGUCUACACUCACUGAAAAGGGGUUGUCUCUUCUUCAUCCAGGGUGAAGCCCUUCUAGGAGCUGACCAGGGUGCUGACUCAAAGGGAAGGCCAGCACGUGCUGCAGGGACAUCUGAGGGAGGCUCAAACUCCGCGGUCUGGCAUUUUGCCUGGCUUGGCGUAAAGAAGUGAUGGAGACUUUCCUGUGAUUCCUAGGCUCCCCUCCUGGACAGCACCAGGAAUGGGCCUUCGAGGUGGCUGGGCUUCAGGCCAGCCUGGCGGCGUGCUUGGGUGACUUGGGAGAAUGUAGCUGUUUGCUGGGAAGAUCUUAAGGAGGAAACCAGAACCUCUCUCUGUCCCAAGCUCUCAUCCCUGGGGGAGCCUGUUAGGACAGAGUUCAUCCUCAGUCAAAAGAAAGUGCAUCUGGUUUCACAUUUUACCUUCCUUCCUGCCACCCAGAGUGGGAGCAGGCAAACCUGGCUGAGGAGAGCCACACCCAGCCACACCCCAUGGGUCGAUCACUGGAGCUUCUGAAACCUGGGUGGUGCCUGGUACAGCUGGGUUCCUUCCUUCCCCCAGCCCAAGUUCCUGCCCCCAGCUUUGUCCCUGGAGGUCUCAAUCCUGCUCUCUACAUUCUGAGGGGAACUCUUGGCCCCAGCAGAGAGCAAAACUCCAAGUGCACCUCCCAUACACCCCCCAGCACUGGGUUCGGCCUGUACCAUCCGGGACCUGGUGCUUCUGGGCCUGGAAUUUUGCCUUUGGCAAGAGAGUGAGAAGAGACAUGACUGUGCUCCAGGAACGGAAAGUGCCAUUCCGACUUGAAAUAAAGAGACUGAGCGCAU